AUGGGAAUUGUAGUCCCAGAGUCCCCCGGCAGCGCUCCGGGGCGCGGGGCUGUUGUGGGAUGCGAUCCUGGGAUGGGGUCCGGGACGGGAGGGAACGGGUUGGAGACCGCGGCGCGCGGAAACCCCGCUGCCCCGCCUCGCACGCGCUCCCCGCCCCGCAGCUCGGCCCCAUCCCACUGCAAUCCCCCCCCAGAAGCGCAGCCCCGGAGAUGUAAAAAUAGAACUUUUAUUUCCCGUCUGUGCGGGGCGGAGGGGCGCAGAGGGGAGAGGGGCGAUGCCGACCCCGGUGCACAGAACAACGGACAGCGCCCGGGGUGCAGCGCUGGUCCUGCACGGCACCGCCCCGGGGUGCCACCAUCCCCCCGAGCCCCGCUCGCGGCGGCCCCGCAUCGCCCCGGGUGGCGGCCGGCGCCCAACACCGGGCACGAGGGGUGCGCGGCCCCGGGGGCGGGUUUACAAAAAGCCCCGUGGGCGAGGAGAGUAUCAAAACCGGUAUCAAAAUCCGUGCAGAGCGGCCGGGACCGACGCGAACCCGGGCCCGCACCGCGUGCUGGAUGCGCCUCCGGAGUCGGGGGGUCCCGGUGCCUCCGCCCUCCCGAGGCUCAGCGGGCGCUGGCGGAUCCGGAGCGGGGCUGCGGGCGGGCGCGGGCCGAGCAGCCCGGGAAGGAUUGGGCGAAACGAGGCGGCACCGCGGGCGGCGGGGUCGGGGACUGCGGGACGGGACGGGGCGGGCGCGGCGCGGGCUGCGGGGCGGCGGGGGACGGCGGGCGCGGUGCUUCCGUGCCCAGCCCCGGGCCGCCGGAGGCUGCGGGAACAGAGCGGCUGCGGGCGGGGGUGGAGCCCCGGGAGGCGGUGGGGGCCGGCGGGGGCCGGGGGGGCGGCGACGAGGCUCCGGGCGGACGACGAGGACACGCGGGGGGCGGCGGGCGGCCCUGGAGCAGCUCCAGCACGCGCUGCAGCUCCCGGCCGAGCUGCGAAACCUCGCGGUUGAGGUGGGCGAUCUGCAACGGGGACGGAAAGCAGUGA
rnacentral:lncRNA from 1 species